rnacentral:rRNA from 1 species
UACAGAGGUCUCGAGCGUUAGGCGGAAUCACUGGGCGUAAAGCGUGCGCAGGCGGUUGUGCAAGACCGAUGUGAAAUCCCCGGGCUUAACCUGGGAAUGGCAUUGGUGACUGCACGGCUAGAGUGUGUCAGAGGGGGGUAGAAUUCCACGUGUAGCAGUGAAAUGCGUAGAGAUGUGGAGGAAUACCGAUGGCGAAGGCAGCCCCCUGGGAUAACACUGACGCUCAUGCACGAAAGCGUGGGGAGCAAACAGG